rnacentral:rRNA from 1 species
UACGUAGGGUGCAAGCGUUGUCCGGAAUUAUUGGGCGUAAAGAGCUCGUAGGCGGUUUGUCGCGUCGAAUGUGAAAACCCGGGCUCAACCCCGGGCCUGCAUUCGAUACGGGCAGACUAGAGUUCGGUAGGGGAGUCUGGAAUUCCUGGUGUAGCGGUGAAAUGCGCAGAGUAUCAAGGAGGAACGACCGGUGGCGAAGGCGGGACUCUGGGCCGAUACUGACGCUGAGGAGCGAAAGCGUGGGGAGCGAACAGG